GAGUGCUGGACUCUGAGGUUGUUUCCCUUUGUCACUGCCCUUAUCAACCCUCUGGCUCUGGACUGUCCUGGCUUCAUGAUGAGACCCAUUAGAUUCACUAUGCUGUGUUGGAGGCUGCCUCUGUAUUGGCACAUCAAGGCCCUUAGUUCUCCAUUCCUGGACUGCCUUUGGCUUCCACACUUGUGUAGGUUGUUUUGGGAUUUUCUUUUGCAGCACUGCACAAUUGUGUCCUAAUGUUUGGCAUUUCUCA
rnacentral:lncRNA from 1 species